AGGUCUUAAAGGGUUUAAUUAAAGGCUUUUUAAAUUCACCAUCAGUGUGCCUUGGAAUCUUUGGCAGGCCUUAUCAACAGUCACUGGAGCUAAGUCUGACCAUAAUUUUGAGCAACUUUAUUUCCUUGAGCCAAAGUGCACCUGCUUAUGAGAAAAAAAGUGAAACAGCACUCCUCCAUAAUCAGCAUUCCUAGUGAACAGUUGAAUUUUUUUUAGCAUAUGUAGAAAAGACCAACUUACUAGCCACUUUGAGUCAUUAUUAAGUGUGUGUUUUAAUAGUAAAAUUCUUUCCAUUUUGGCUGGUGGAGAAAAAAGUUAAUUAACAACCCAGUGUAUAACUGUAGGAGCAGACUGUACAGUGAAAGUGAAUCCUGCCUGGACUUAACAGACCCCUAUACCUAGAAUGACCCAAACAUUUGACUAUUGCUCUUGUCACAGGUCAGUCCAUGAGCCCACGUCUUCAGGCCAGGGGCCCGAGAGAAAUUUCCAGUGACAUGGAUCAACAGAGAUCCUCAAACAGUCAGUCCAUGUGCCACGUUCCAGCCAGGGACCAAAAGGGGGACUUUCGUCAUGGGGCCAGACAGACAUCCUCAAGCAAAAUAGAGAGAUGCAUCCAGGCCACCCACUAGGAGGUGGGAAAUCGUACGAAGAGGUGGCUGUACCUGGCAGCAGACUGAGAUGGGGUGAGGAAGAGAAGCACAGACCAAGAACGGAAUGUCAGACAUUUGCCCUUUUUUAUGCCCAGCACACACAGACACACACACACACACACACACACACACACACCAGCAUAUAAACAUGCACAUAGACACAGGCGCACGUGCACACACAUACACAGACUCUCAAACAAGAUGAGUCUCUGGUGAUGUUGGCAAAUAAUCUGAAUCCAUACACACGGCAAUGAUUCCACCAUGGUGCCCCACCUACGCAAGUCCUGUCCUUCAGCA